rnacentral:tRNA from 1 species
CUAAAGAGGCGAGAAUCGAACUCGCUACUAAGAAAUCAAAGUUCUUUGUUUUCCCAAUUAAACUACCCNUUA